AGAGGGAUAGCUGGGUCAAAUGAUGGUUCCAUUCCCAGAUUUCCAAGGAAUCUCCACACUGCUUUCUAUAUUGGCUGUUCCAAUUUGCAAUCCCACCAGCAAU
rnacentral:pre_miRNA from 1 species